GUUUCACCAAAAAGUCUCUUCUUCAAUUUUUUUAAUUCAGAGGCAGUAGUAGUACACUCAGAUAUAAAAGAAACCAAAACGAUCGGAAUCUUCUUCCACUUGUUCUUUUAAAAGAUUAAAGCUUUUUUUUUUCUCUUAAAGCAAAAAAAGGAAAACUUUCCCUCUCGCGUCUCUCUCUUUUGACCUCACAUUCGCUGAAUCACUCUUCUGGGUUUUUUUUUUUUUUUUUUUU